UACGAAGGGGGCUAGCGUUGCUCGGAAUUACUGGGCGUAAAGCGCACGUAGGCGGCUUUCUAAGUCGGGGGUGAAAUCCUGGAGCUCAACUCAGAACUGCCUUCGAUACUGGAGAGCUCGAGUCCGGGAGAGGUGAGUGGAACUGCGAGUGUAGAGGUGAAAUUCGUAGAUAUUCGCAAGAACACCAGUGGCGAAGGCGGCUCACUGGCCCGGUACUGACGCUGAGGUGCGAAAGCGUGGGGAGCAAACAGGG
rnacentral:rRNA from 1 species